GCGGGAGUAGCUCAGUGGUAGAGCACAACCUUGCCAAGGUUGGGGUCGCGGGUUCGAGCCCCGUUUCCCGCU
rnacentral:tRNA from 1 species